CCUGAGUGUCCUGGUCACCUCCAGGCUUGGAAAGCUGUAUGACUGCUGCUUCUGUCAUUGAACGACCAAGGGAAACAUUCGUGCUUCCCUAAUGCUGGCCUCCCGGGGGGAGUGUGUUUUAGGAGAUGGGCAGUCUGAUUGAGUCAAACGGUACACACAUCACGGGCCAGUUAAUCCUGGGACUUUACCUAUCAAUGAGAUGAACUUUCCUGUUAGCUAUGUUUCCAAGCCCGUGAACAGAAUUCAGGGGCCUCUGAGAAAGACCUGGCUUGGAGGAUGGAGCGGGGAGUGCAGGUGACUGAAGACCAGGCUUGCUGGAAGGACUGCAGGUUGGAGAUCUCCAUGAUGUUAAGCGAGGUGUCAAGGGAAGACUCCCAAAGAACCCACGCAAGCGCUACACAGGAGAAAGAAUCAGCCUGACCCAGAUUGCAAGGAUUACAACCAAAUACCGAACAUCCUGAAAACAGAGCUGCGUUCUGCCCACUGUAGUUCCCACGAUGGCCUCAGCGCAAAGUGCCAGCUGUGUGAGCUGGUGACCAGGAGCAGGGUCUCUGCCUAGAGAGGUCUACACCUGAGGAAGUGAUGGAUGGGAAACUGAGUGGAGAUCAACGGAAGAGCAAGAACUAUCUCUGUGAUUACAAUUGAAGAUGAAUUGGCCUUGUUGAACUGUAGAGGUUGGGACCAAAGUAUGAAAGAAGAGGACUUAUAAUUGGGCACUUGCCUCUGGGAGGGAAAAAGGAGAUCGCAAACCUGAAGCUGUGCCAUGGGCUUGGCUUUCUGGGCAGGCGAGCCCCCAUGGGCACUAACCGUCUCUCCCCUCCCUGUCCCCACUGUCUCCUGGCUGGUCUUCCUGGCCAGACGCUGGAGGGUGAUCUGCUCUUUCAUAUUGCAGUACAUGACUCAUUUCUUCCUUGCCUUCUGACUUCCUUUCUUUCAUUCCUCAUUCUUAACAGUUUUACCAGCUAUUUAAAAUGCAUACUCUUAGAAAAUAUAAUGCAAAUGCAUGGAAAAGAUGGAAACGGUGGGAAAGGAACACAGAGAAAAUUGUCUUCCUUCCACCCCUGACUCUUGACAAAAGUUCCCUUCUGAAGGACGCACCACUGAUACUAAUUUCCAGAGUAUACCUUCCCAGAGAAAUUAUAUAUAUAUAUCAGCAGAAGUACCUAUCUAUCCAUGUGCGCCAUAGAUGCAAGCCUGUCAUGUGCUUCCUGCAACUUGCUAUUUCAGGCAGACUCCUUCUAAAACACCAUCCUGCUUAAAAUACUUUAAUAGAUCCCAGUUCUCUGCAGAAUAAAGCUCAGUCUCUUCCUGGUCAGAGCAUCUUUCACAAUCUAACUCCCCAAAUGAGCAUUGCCUUCCAGUCCGGUGCCCCUCUCCCUCCAGCUCCCUCCUCCUCCUCCUGCCCCACCCAGGUUUCAGCCUCAGUGGAUCUCCAGACCUAUAAGUCUCACUGCUGUUAGUUCCUUGGUCUAAAGACACUUGCUUUACCUCUUCUGCUUGUCAAAAACAUUCCUUUUUUUUUUUUUAAAGAUUGGCACCUGAGCUAAUAUCUGUUGCCAAUCUUCUUCUUCUUUUUUUUUCCUUCUUCUUCCCAGUGCCCCCCAGUACAUAGUUGUAUAUUGUAGUUGUAGGUCCUUCUGGUUGUGCUGUGUGGGACGCCACCUCACCAUGGCCUGAUGAGUGGUGCUAGGUCCGUGCCCAGGAUCCAAACCAGCGAAACCCUGGGCUGCUGAAGUGGAGUGUGUGAACUUAACCACUUGGCCACAGGGCCGGCCUCUCAUUCGCAUCUUUAAAGAAUCAAUUCCACAUGUCACUCUGCUGUGAAGCCUUCUCCAAAUUUCUCAGCCACGUUGACUGUUCCCCUUCUCUAAGGACCCUCCCUGUCAAGUUCUGUAUCCAUCAGUGGGUAGUUCAUUUAUUCUCUGAACACCCUUGAAAUGCCAAAUGCUGUGCUAAGGGCAAGAGAGACCACAAGAAACAACACAGUCUCUGCCCUCAAGGAACCUAGCAGUGAAAAGCGACACACUAUGAUAGCAGUGUGUGAUGAAUACAAGGUGCUGAGAUAUGUAGAAAAGGGGCCCUUCGUGCAUACUGGGCUGGGACUAGUUGGGGAGGUUCCUAGGGGAGGCAGAACCUAAGCCAAUGCCUAAAGUUCUAGAAGGAUGAGCCACGCGAGGAGUUGUGGAGAAUGGGGAAGAGUCGAAAUGUCCCUGAGGAGCCAUGUCGCACCAAGAGAAAGGCAAGUGCAAAAGUUAAGGAGCACCAGAUUUCAUGUGACAUCAAAGCUCUCAAUCAAUAUGGCAGGAGGCUAGAGCUGUGAGGGCAAAGUCAGGUAACCAAUGGAAGACAAAGUCUUGGGUAAAUGAUAAAGUACUCUUCAAACAACUGGUGUAGGAGUAAGUGACUCAUCAACUCUGGCAAUUGCAGAUUCAUAAUCUUUGACUUCCAAUUUGCAGCAGCCUCUGAAGAUUUACAGAGGAUUGGAGGAAGGGCAAAGAUUGUCACUCAACAUGAUGGCCUUUGAGUACUUAAAUUAUAGAUAUUGACAAGGUGCUGCCGGGAAAUUUUGAAGGUUAGCAUUUUGGUGAAUUGCUCUGUAAAACCACGUACAUAUUAAUAAUGCUAAGAGCGGUAGGGAUUAGCCUCUUUUGAGGUCUUACUCUGCUUCUGACACUAUUGUAAGUGCUGUAUGUAUUAGAAUCUAUUUAAUCCCAACUACUUAAAGCAUGGGUAUACUAUUACUAUUCCCAUUUUAUAGAUGAGGAAACUGAGAUACUGAGAGGUUAAGAGGCUUUCCCGAUGUCGCAGAACUUGUUCAUGGUGGAGCCAGAAUUGAAAUCCUAGCAGUCUGGUCAGAGCCCAUGUUCCUAACCACUAGACACCACUGCCUCUCCCCAGCUGCAGCUGGCGGGUGUUUGGACGAGCCUGCUGCCAAGCCUGGUGACCCAAGCCCGUUCCAGAAAAUGAGUCCUGGAAUAAAGGACAGAUCGACAGUAGGUGGAGUGUGCAUGGCCUGCCCUUGGCAUCCUGAAGCAGCCACUGUCUGAAAAUAACAAUUUGGGGAGUUCAAUUAACAGCACACUUGCAGGAACACCAAGAACAAGAGGAACUCCAUGGGUGAAUGACUUGGGGACAAAAAUCAGAAUUGAGGGGCCUUGGUUGCCAUCUUUCAAGCUGCCAUGGACAGCAACAGGCAGAGCUGAAUGUGCCCCGUUUUGGCAGGAGAGUGGUCAAGAUUAAUUACCCAGAUGGAUCGCUUUGCUCAGAAAAAGCCAGCAGAUGGUUUGAUGUAGUGACUUCUGCAACCAUAAAACCAGGAGAUGUAUAGCUAUCUCUGUGCUAAAUGGGGCCUUGAAGAGAUUAACCUCACGUAUAAAGUGAAAAUGAUAUGCAUGAGUUUUACCAGGUAGGGGAAACAACUCGUGAUCCUUGCAAAUAAUCAUUUCAUGCCAAGGAUGCUGGAUUCAAAUGUCAAACUAUGGAAAAGCUUUCUUGAAAGACAGCCUAUGGGACUGUGGGAGAAGUGCUGGAUUCUGAUAGGCAGAAGAUUAGAAUUUUAUGUCAACGCCUUGCAAAGAUCCCUGAAUACAUAAGCUUUAAGGAAAGGGGGGUAGGUUGGAAGUUCUGUUUAUUUUAUAGCCAAGAUAUAUCUUCAAAGUGAAUGUGUGUCAACGCCAUCAACCCAGCUGGGAGCUUUGUGACCUCCACCCACUCCCAGGGGAAGGUGAGAGUGAGGCCAGUUGGGGGUUGCAGGCUGGGCUGUGGUGUCUGGGUUGGCGCAUCUUACUGCCUCAUCAGCCUUACUCGCUGGUCCUACACUGGGCUGCAUUUCUGCCAGCCGCACGCGGCAUUUCUAAGGUGAAGAAAGAUGUUCAAGUCACAGCUCUGCUGCUGCCUAAUGGUAUGAUGUUGGGUGAGUCAACAUCUCUGAGCCUCAGUUUAUUUGUUGAUGAAAUGGGAUAACAAUCCCCCAGAGAUGUUGCAAGGAUUGAGAUAGUGAUAUGAAAAAGCUGCAGUCACCCUGACAUGCUAGCUGUCGUCGUUAGCAGGAUUUGAGGCGUAAUUCACCUGAUAUCCUCCUUCUACUGCUGGUCCUUCACACACCGCUUUGUUUCAUUUGUUUUUACCACAUUUUAUUGCACUAAAUUAGAUAUACCGUAAAAUUUACCAUGGUAACCAUUUUUAAGUAUACAGUUCAGGGGCAUGAAAUACACUCACAAUGUUGUACACCCAUCACCACUAUUCAUUUCUAGAACUUUUCCAUCAUCUCAAAUUGAGAUUCUAUACCCACUAAAUAAUAACUCCCCUCCCUUUCUUCCCUCCCCUAAGCCUCUGGUAACCUCUUUUCUAUUUUCUGUCUGUAUGAAUUUACCUCUUCUGGAUAUUUCAUGUAAGUGGAAUCAUAUGAUAUGAAACCUUUUAUGUUUAGCUUAUUUCGCUUAGCAUAAUGUCUUCAAGGUUGAUGCAGCCUUGAAACAUGAUGCAUGUUGCAGCGUGUGUCAGAAUUUCCUUCCUUUUAAAGCUGAAUAAUAUUCCAUUGUAUGUGUAUACCAUGUUUUGCUUAUUAUUCACCUGGUGGUUGUUUCCACUUUUUGACAAUUGUGAAUAUUAUUCCUAUGAACAUUCAUGUAAAAGUACCUGAGUUCCUGCUUUCAAUUCUUUUUUUUUUUUUUAAGGAAAUUUGACUUUUUUUUUUUUUUUGAGGAAGAUUAGCCCUUAGCUAACAUCUGCUGCCAAUCCUUCUCUUUUUGCUGAGGAAGAUUGGCCCUGACCUAACAUCUGUGAACAUCUUUUCUAUUUUAUAUGUGGGACAUCUGCCACAGCAUGGCUUGAUGAGUGGUGCAUAGGUCCACACCCAAGAUCUGAACCGGCGAACCCUGGGCCACCAAAGCGGAACAUGAGAACUUAACCACUGUGCCACCAGGGUGACCCCUCAAUUCUUUUGAGGAUAUACCUAGGAGUGGAAUUUCUGGGUUAUAUGGUUAUUCUAUGCUUAACUUUUUCAGAAACUGCCUGUUUCCCACAGCAGCUGUACCAUUUUGCAUUUCCAUCAGCAAUGUACAAGAGUUCCAAUUUCUCCACAUCCUCACCAACACUUGUUAUUUUCCGUUUUUUUAAUAGUAGCCAUCCUAAGAGGUGGAAAUGGUAACCUCUUUUGCUUUGAAGGGUAUCAGUUACAUCUCCACGGCAUGAGAAACCCUAGAGUAGAUACGGUUGUUUGCCUAUCACUGGAACUCUGGCAUGUCGGGGAGGGUUUUGGGUACCAGGAGUCCUUUCUGCAAGAGUUUUUACCCAAAACAAAAUGGUUUUCCAGGGACGAACUGGGAGAAGGACUUGGGGCUGUAAUCAGUUGACAAUUCUGUCCGUUUGUUCAUUUAUUCAUCCACUCAUUCAUUCAUCCCACAAAUAUUUAUUGAAUGCCAAUUUGGGUUGUAGGGAACAGGGAGGAACUGUGCUACAUGCUGUGGCAAGUAGAUCUCAGCAUCCACAAAACGGAGAAUUGGAAAAGACCUUAAGAAUCAUCUUGACCAAACACCUGCCCCAUUCAGGAAUGUUCCCUGAAACUAGAGAGCUAGGAUAGGGCUCAGGUUUCCAAGGCAGUGAUUGACCAGGAAUGAUGUAGUCCAAGCUGUGAGAUGAAACUCCUCUAACUUGCCGGAGAAUGAGUUUAAAACAAGGGCAAGCAUCUGUAGGAAGCUCUCUUUUUUUCCAGCUCACUAGACAGUCCGGUCACUUGAUCAGCUGGUGAGAUCUGGACACAGUAAAACAAGUGUCAAGCAAACAUGAUUAGAUAAGCCCUGAGUACUCACACAGUCCCUGCAUUGUGAUAACCUCCCACAGGAAUGUCACGGACAGGCUGUGUGUGGUGGGAGAUACCACUGACUUGGAAUUUGAGAGCCAGGCAGGAGUGUAUUUGAUUUCAAUCUGGGAAAAUUCCAGAGCACUGAAUUUAGAGGAUUUAUGAACACCAUCAUAUCCAUACAAUUGGAUUUCAUCAACAAACACAGACGUUUUCUAGCUCAUAUUGGGACAUUUCAACUAUAUUAAAAGGCAAAGAGAAAGAGAUGGAAACAGUGGUUAGGAUGCAAUUCACAGAUACAGUUUCCAUAUAUACGUUUAUUUUACUCUGGUUACACUCAAGCCUCAGGAGUCCACAAAUAAACUGGACUCACAGACAGCGUCAUUUCUUCAAGUCACGUUCUCUCUGUAUCCUGUACGCCCUCCAAAGCCACACAAAGGAGCAGGACUGUCCUCAUCUGCAUCCCUCAGGCAGAGAGCAGAAUUUUCCCAGAUCCGGGUGAAGAUUUGCAGGAAAAGCUUCCCAAUCUUUGUGAACAUCAUCACAGUCCAAGACGAUGGCUGAAAAAUUAGACUAAAUACUAUUACACUAAACUUUCCAUUAGUUGGAUGUCAUUCGAUUUUCAUUCCAUCUAUAUUCUUGGUGAUCUUCUG
ensembl:lncRNA